ACAAAGGGGAAUGAGAGGAGACAGAGCCAUCUUGCACUACAAACAUUAGGAUGCAGGAAGCUGCUACAGGGGCAAGGAAGACAACCGGGUGGAGGACUCUGCCUGCCUGUGAGAAUACAGAUGAUUUCUCAAGGGAAGGAUGAGCUAAUGAGGAACAUUGUGUGCAGAAGGUUUUAUUGUUUGGUGUGAUCUGUAUUCUCCUGUGCUUUACAUGAUGAAAUAUAAAGCGCAUAAAGUUUGAUACAUUGAACAAACACUGCUGCAUGAAAUCAGAGAUAACCCUAAAACCCAGUAGAGGGGGAAAUAACACAUGCUGUGUAAAUAAUUUCUGAACUUCUAUGCUGGAAAACUCCAUUGGCUUGCACUGUAACCUUAAGGAUGCCUCUUCCCUCAUCACAUUUGAUUCCAAGUCUCCAUCAGCGGUCAGAAAGGGGUGGCGUACUUACAGCACAAGACAAAGCCACAAAGAUUUGAACUGGAUGCCUCCUGCUACUCUGCCCACAGUUCUGGAGAUGAGCUCGGACACACAGCAGCCCAUGAGUGCAGUCAGCGCCACCAAAAGGAGGAGGCCGCAGCCCAGCCCCGUCACCACGGUGCAGAUCCUCCACUCA